rnacentral:rRNA from 1 species
AGUUCUGGUGUGUUAGGUAUGUGCGCAUUUAUGACAGCUGGCAUAACAUGGUAUACGUUCAAUGUGGUGUCUCGUGCGCUGACCAUCGUACUUGCAUGCGUACGUCGAUCGAAUAACAUCUAUUCGGCUUUAAUUGUUAUGAAUUCGUUGUGUACGUACGUCGUACGGACGGACGUACUACGAGACAGCUAAAAUAAUAACCUCAGAUAUGCUGCUAGCUAGCUGCAACCAUCGCACGUGAAUCAACGUCAUCGGCAACACCUGCCCGUAGGACAUGAGGACGACGGGCGGCAUCCGCCGGACGAAGACGAGCGCCACGAGCACCAUGCGCAUCGGCGGCCGCGGCUCGCGACGGCGGGGGCGGUGUGGCCGGAGCUAGACCACGAAGGAGCGCACACGGCCCAGGAAGAAGUGGAGCAUGGGGAGUAUGACGUGUGUGUGCGGUAUAAGUUUCUAGUACGUAGAAUUAAUGUACCUAUUUAACAUGACACAUUUACACUACAACAAAAGAACCACUCCAAUUAAUUAACUAAUGGUCCCGCUUCCGUGGCCGCCGCUCACGCGGCUGGAGCGGCUGCGCGAGGGACAAGAACACGACGAAGUGGAGGAAGAAUAUCAUGGGGACCGGGACGAGCGGAGGCGGCUUCGUGAGGAGCCACCACCACCUCAUCCUGUACCGGGAUGGCAGCAACACGGGCAUCGGCACCGGCACGGGUACGGGCACGGACGGCCUCAGCUUCGUGAGGAGCAGCUGCCACAACCUCAUGUACCAGGACGGCGGUGGUGGCAUCGGCACGGACGGCCUCAGGAGCUUCGUGAGGUGCAGUCACCACAAUCGCAUGUACAAACGGGGCGGUACCGGUACCGGUACGGGCACGGGCACGGGCACGAACGGCCGCAGCAUCGUCAGCAGCCACCACAACCUCAUGUAGCAGGACGGCGGUAGCUUCGUGAGUAGCAACAACCUCAUCCUGUACCAGGACGGCGGCGGCAACAUCAUCGGGCGGUAAGAUUCUCGUCCACCGCUACGAUUCGUUCGAUCACACUACCUACGCUCAUGCACACCGAAGAACGAACG